rnacentral:rRNA from 1 species
GACGAACGCUGGCGGCGUGCUUAACACCUGCAAGUCGAACGGAAAGGCCCUUCGGGGUACUCGAGUGGCGAACGGGUGAGUAACACGUGGGUGAUCUGCCCUGCACUUUGGGAUAAGCCUGGGAAACUGGGUCUAAUACCGAAUAGGACCACGCGCUUCAUGGUGUGUGGUGGAAAGCUUUUGCGGUGUGGGAUGGGCCCGCGGCCUAUCAGCUUGUUGGUGGGGUAAUGGCCUACCAAGGCGACGACGGGUAGCCGGCCUGAGAGGGUGACCGGCCACACUGGGACUGAGAUACGGCCCAGACUCCUACGGGAGGCAGCAGUGGGGAAUAUUGCACAAUGGGCGCAAGCCUGAUGCAGCGACGCCGCGUGAGGGAUGACGGCCUUCGGGUUGUAAACCUCUUUCAAUAGGGACGAAGCGCAAGUGACGGUACCUAUAGAAGAAGCACCGGCCAACUACGUG